rnacentral:rRNA from 1 species
UGCAAGUCGAACGGGGGCAGCAAUGCCCUAGUGGCGAACGGGUGAGUAAUGCAUCGGAACGUGUCCCGUAGUGGGGGAUAGCCCGGCGAAAGCCGGAUUAAUACCGCAUAUGCACUACGGUGGAAAGUGGGGGACUCCGCAAGGGGCCUCACGCUAUGGGAGCGGCCGAUGUCCGAUUAGCUAGUUGGUGAGGUAAAGGCUUACCAAGGCGACGAUCGGUAGCUGGUCUGAGAGGAUGAUCAGCCACACUGGGACUGAGACACGGCCCAGACUCCUACGGGAGGCAACAGUGGGGAAUUUUGGACAAUGGGGGCAACCCUGAUCCAGCCAUGCCGCGUGAGUGAAGAAGGCCUUCGGGUUGUAAAGCUCUUUCGGCCGGAAAGAAAGCUUACUCCUUAAUACGGGGUGAGGUUGACGGUACGGGCAUAAGAAGCACCGGCUAACUACGUGCCAGCAGCCGCGGUAAUACGUAGGGUGCGAGCGUUAAUCGGAAUUACUGGGCGUAAAGCGUGCGCAGGCGGUUUGUUAAGCUUGCUGUGAAAGCCCCGGGCUCAACCUGGGAAUGGCAGUGAGGACUGGCAGACUGGAGUGUGGCAGA